ACGUAGGGUGCAAGCGUUGUCCGGAAUUAUUGGGCGUAAAGAGCUCGUAGGUGGUUAGUUACGUCGGGUGUGAAAAUCUGGGGCUCAACCCCAGACCUGCACUCGAUACGGGCUAGCUAGAGUUUGGUAGGGGAGACUGGAAUUCCUGGUGUAGCGGUGGAAUGCGCAGAUAUCAGGAGGAACACCAAUGGCGAAGGCAGGUCUCUGGGCCAAUACUGACACUGAGGAGCGAAAGCGCGGGGAGCGAACAGGAUUAGAUACCCUGGUAGUCCGCGCCGUAAACGGUGGGCGCUAGUUGUGGGGACCUUCCACGGUCUCUGCGACGCAGCUAACGCAUUAAGCGCCCCGCCUGGGGAGUACGAUCGCAAGAUUA
rnacentral:rRNA from 1 species